UAAUACCAAAGUUCCAAAAAUCCAUAUUCAAACAUGGUAUACCAAAUAUCAGCACUAUUCAGUCAUUAACGCACUCCCCAAAAGCUUUAAAUAUUACACAACAACUCAUAUCCUGAAUUGCUUUCUAAAGGAAGGAAAACUAAACAGACAAAAAUAGCUUCAGUACAGUCUCUGGUUACUCUUAAUAGAAGGUUCAGAAUCAUUUUAAUUCAACAAAGCCAAUCCAACUCUUAAACAAACACAUGUCCUUCAAGAAGAGUAAAAUACAAGAAAAUGGAUAUGAAAAUAACUAUGAACUAAUGGUCCAACAUCAAAACAUCAGAAUUCUAGCUUUCAUUUCUCAAUAUCCAAUCGAAUAUCACAUUGUGCGAGUUUUAAGGAUGUGUACCUGGAAAUAGCCAAAACAAUCACAGAACCACUACAAGUUAAAGGUAGGCUCAACAGUAGUAUGGCAACAAAAACAGUUAGUUAAAUCAACUUCAAGCAAGCAGUGAUGUCCAGCAAUAAAGUUCAAUCAGCCCAGCAAACUUCAGAAUAAUUUUGAAAACCAAAUUCAAACCAUUUUAUUCUCAGAUGUGGCAAGAUUGUUUCAAAAAUUUGAAAAGUAUCUAGAAUUACUGGAAGGAUCCAAUGAAACGGUAUAUUAUGUCGUUUUCCUUUUUCUGGGUUUUUUC
rnacentral:lncRNA from 1 species